AGAAAGUGGCAGGCUGGACAUUACUGCAGUCAAUCGGGUUGUUCUCCAGAUGGAGGGAGACCAGGGUGGAGUUCUUGUGUAUCUGGGUGCCACAGAUGGAGUUCGGCGGGAUGUAUCUGUGGGAUGGAAGCACAGGCCAUAGAAUGAAGAGGGGGGCUGGAGCGUUAAGCCGAGACCCACCUGAUGAGGUUGUGGUCGAGCCGAAGCAACCGCAGAGCUCGAAGUCGUGGAAGUGCCAAUGGGACAGACCGCAGCUGGUUGUGGUCCAGCAGCAGUUGAACCAGUGUGUCUUCCAUGCUCUGAAAGGCUGCAGUUUCCAAGCCACCCUCAUCCAACCUGUUAUGCGCCAGAUGCAGGUACACGAGGCCUGGUCGGAGGUGACUAAACACCAAGCCAGGGAUGCUCCCAAUCUGGUUGUGGUGCACAGAGAGCUGUCGCAGAGGGACCGGCAAGAAGGAGGGAAUGCGGAGAAGCUCGUUGUGGGACAGGUCAAGAACCUCCAGCAACCUGUAAAGAAAUGGCCCGCUGGUAAAUAGAAAAGGGAGCAGCAGGCAACUGGCUGAUCGAUUUACAUUGUUUUUUUUUGUCAUUUCUACUGUUUACCAUCCAAGCUUCUUGACUCUCUCCCUGUGACUUAGGCGUCAACCAAAAUCCCCUGAUGAUCUCGGCCUUUGACCGCCCAGGCAAAACAAUAGGAUAAAUUCUGCAUUUACGACGAGCACAUUAUCAAAUCUGAGCCUUAAAAAUACAGAGAAAGCAAAGCUGCUGGUCACUGUGGGACACGUUCCCAAAGCAGCGGGGUGCCGCAUAGCCAAGGCUAUCCAGCAUGGGCACUAGGGCACUGUGUCCCAGAGCCCACUGUGAGUCCCCUACAAGGACGGAAAUGUAAACAUCAAAACCAUUUCUGAUGCUGUUUAUCAUUUUAAUUGUCCUAUUCUGGGCGGCAGGGGGUCCGGAGCCUAUGGGCACCAGGCAGGGACCAACCCAGGAUGGGGAGCCAACCCAGGAUGGGGAGCCAACCCAUCACAGGGCUCACAUACACAGUGUCAUCUUUCACCUUUACCAGACGCAGGAAAAUGAUCAACCCCAAAUUCAUCCCCCUGCAAUGCUUACUGAAAGUUCAAAGAACUGACCCCUGUGCAACCAGGCCUCAUCUUUUAAAACAACCCAUCUGUUAUCACUUUUUCAGCACCAUGCCAACAUCCCUUCACCUUCACCGGGCAGCAAAAUAAAUAAAGAACAAACUGUAGCCACGUUAUUCCGGGAAAAUGAAAGCCUGCUGGCUAAAUAGGUUAACAAUGCAAGCAUGCUGACCUCAUUGAGAGAAGCAGGAUGUGGAGGGUUGGUGGUCACCAAAAGCUGGUCAUCGCCUUCUCCUUUCUUGCCCAUGCUCUCACUUCUGUCCCCAUCAUCAUCUUCUUUAUUUUUCAAGGUCAGGAUUGGCUGGGCUGAAGAAGGAGACUGCAGAGCUCAGCAAGCAGGACAUUAACCUCAUUGAGCAGGGGACUAACCUCAUACGGAAGCCCCCCAGAAGCGAGGGUAUUGUCAAUGUCAAAUAUUUCUAACUGUGAGUUAGAGGAGUGGGUCUGUUAGUUACAGAAAAGGUAUCAGCUACUUCAUUUCCAUUUCCAAAACUAUUUAUGCUGGAAGACCGAGGAGAGCAGUGUUUAUACACUCAGAAAAUCAUCGGAAAUGUUCUGUUUGCAUUACCAACAACUUGUUAAAGUAAUAUUAGCAUGUAGUGACAUUUAUAGUAAAUUACACGGUUUUUGUAACCCUUCCCAGUGCCUGAACCCUAGUUAAGCACAUAUUUUGUUAGUAUAAUAGAACCUUACAGAAUAACAAAUAGUAAUUCACAGACUAGACAAUAAAUGUAUUUUCAACUUUUUAAAAGAAUCAGCAUGAUCAAAUUAUACCUCUAUGGAAUUAAAACACAGAACCAAUAAUUAAGAUAAAACAUAUUAAAUACCUUUAAAAAUUGCAAAAGAGCAGCUCAUUAGCCAGCACAUUUGUGACCCACACUGUACAUCUGAGGGACAUCCCGUUUACAUGGCAACCAUGGCCUGGAGUUGGAGUACUGGGAAGGGAAUGGGUCACAUGACACAGAUGCACCUGUGCAAAUGACAAUGACCAUUUCUGGGUAACACUCACCUGAGAGAGUUGCUUCCACCACAGCUGCACCUGCUGCAGUCUCAGCCUGGUGCUGGGGCUCCAUGAAACCCCAUCCCUCAACCGUGGGGGCAGUAAGAGUACAAGCCCCAAGCCACAGGACUACAAAUAUGAACAUUGAUAUCGAGGGCCCAAAAAUGCUUGAAGCACAGCCUUGAUAUGCUCCCCCAAAGGUCAGAGAAGCUGGAGACUCAGAUGAGCAAUGAGAAAUUGGGUGGAGAAGAAGAUUCACAACACCCCUUUUAUUCAUGUAAAAAAAAAAAAAAAAAAGUUUACGUCUUCCCACCCAUCCCAGCACCAAGGUGUCAUUUCAGGCACUUCAUACACACUGAGAUGUCAACACAAUGGGCUGGAGAGCAAGAUUUUUUCGCAUUUGGCCACAUUACUGGCCUGGGACAAAUUUAGCUUAGGUAUAAAAAACAUUAAAUAUAACAAAAGGUAAA